rnacentral:rRNA from 1 species
GACGAACGCUGGCGGCGUGCUUAACACAUGCAAGUCGAACGAGGUCCAACCUUCGGGUGAAGACCUAGUGGCGAACGGGUGCGUAACACGUGAGGAACUUGUCCCGGUCUCUGGGAUAACAGUUGGAAACGACUGCUAAUACCGGAUGACGUCGGAGCGUCGCAUGGCGCGCUGACGAAAGGGUUACUGGAUCGGGAGAGCCUCGCGGCCUAUCAGCUUGUUGGUGGGGUAACGGCCACCAAGGCAUCGACGGGUAGCUGGUCUGAGAGGAUGAUCAGCCACACUGGGACUGAGACACGGCCCAGACUCCUACGGGAGGCAGCAGUGGGGAAUUUUGGACAAUGGGGGCAACCCUGAUCCAGCCAUUCCGCGUGAGUGAAGAAGGCCU